UUUAUUUCUUGGUCUUUUGACUAAGAUCAUGUAUAGCAUCUAUUCUUAUCAGUUUAAUAUCUUAUAUGUGGCUCAAUGAAUCACAAAAUAUUAAAUUACUUUUUGAGAGGGCGGGGUCAACACAAUAGCUUGCUAUUGGGCUUCUCAGGUGGUUUCGCAUAUGUGUUGCAUUAUUGCAUAUUGGGAUGUGUCCUUU
rfam:Medicago truncatula strain A17 chromosome 6, whole genome shotgun sequence.